GACGAACGCUGGCGGCGUGCCUAAUACAUGCAAGUCGAGCGGAUCUUCAUUAGCUUGCUUUUGAAGAUCAGCGGCGGACGGGUGAGUAACACGUGGGCAACCUGCCUGUAAGACUGGGAUAACUUCGGGAAACCGGAGCUAAUACCGGAUAAUCCUUUUCCUCUCAUGAGGAAAAGCUGAAAGACGGUUUCGGCUGUCACUUACAGAUGGGCCCGCGGCGCAUUAGCUAGUUGGUGAGGUAACGGCUCACCAAGGCGACGAUGCGUAGCCGACCGGAGAGGGUGAUCGGCCACACUGGGACUGAGACACGGCCCAGACUCCUACGGGAGGCAGCAGUAGGGAAUCUUCCGCAAUGGACGAAAGUCUGACGGAGCAACGCCGCGUGAGCGAUGAAGGCCUUCGGGUCGUAAAGCUCUGUUGUCAGGGAAGAACAAGUACCGGAGUAACUGCCGGUACCUUGACGGUACCUGACCAGAAAGCCACGGCUAACUACGUGCCAGCCGCCGCCGUAAGAC
rnacentral:rRNA from 1 species